UAGAAAAAUAAGAACGCUUGAUGUUGAGUGGUAGCUGUUACACACCCCAGCCACAGCUUCGAUGCAUGAGUAUGGAUUCUCUCUCCACUGCACGCUAUUUACAGUUGGUGAAAAGACUCAUCCUUCACAUUAUGAGUCUGUGUAUCUGUGCACAACAUGCCAUGGCACAGAAUGCAUCCAGAGAGGUCAGACAAGUUGGGGAUGCCGUACUUUUGCACCCUGCCAGGACAAGAGAAGAUAUGACAGAUGCUCGCUGGAUAAAAGCAAACAAGAAGAUUUCUAACUCUAGCGAAUGUGUGAUUUUUGAAAACGGAUCACUGCUAAUAGAAACAGCCAAUAAAAGUCACACAGGAAAUUAUACAGUGGAAUUGUUUAAACCUUCUGGCCGUAGGAUUUCGAAAACCGACAUUGAGCUCAUCAUAAUAGACGCCGUUUCCCAGCCAGAGAUCCGCUCUUCCUGCACGUUAGACAGACAUACCCUUCUGGCCUGCUCAGUGGACAGAGGGGACCACGUCAGGCUGCAGUGGAUCGGUCUGGCGAACCUGUCCCAUCUACCCCAGCAGCCAGCGCAGACCAUGUCAGGGCGAACCCUCUACCUGUUGGGCAGCACACCUGGUCAUGUGAUCUGUGUGGCAGAAAAUCCCAUCAGCAAAAGGUCCAGCAGGACCACUGUCCGAAGUU